rnacentral:lncRNA from 1 species
GACACUACAAAGGAUUAACGAGGCUAUAUGAUUCACUCCCGCGAUCUACCACCGAUCCUGACAAUAUGGGGAUAUCUACGAGUACAUGAGCCUAAGCACCACGCUUACACUACGGAUGAUUACUCUACUCUCUACUCAAAGAAAAUAAAGUAAAGUCACAAACCAAAGAACAAUAAUAACAAUAUACUACUAGUAUUAGAAGUUGAAUCACCGAAGAAUCUCAUAAGCAAGCCCCGUGUUAGGGAGACUUGAUCCCGCAGG